UACGUAGGGUGCAGGCGUUAAUCGGAAUUACUGGGCGUAAAGCGUGCGCAGGCGGUUUGCUAAGACAGGUGUGAAAUCCCCGGGCUUAACCUGGGAACUGCGCUUGUUACUGGCAGGCUUGAGUGUGGCAGAGGGGGGUGGAAUUCCAGGUGUAGCGGUGAAAUGCGUAGAUAUCUGGAGGAAUACCGGUGGCGAAGGCGGCAUCCUGGACCGAGAUUGACACUGAUGAGCGAAAGCCAGGGGAGCAAACGGG
rnacentral:rRNA from 1 species